rnacentral:rRNA from 1 species
UUUAAUUGAAGAGUUUGAUCCUGGCUCAGAUUGAACGCUGGUGGCAUGCUUAACACAUGCAAGUCGAACGGUAACAUAAUAAAUGUUUUUUACAUUUAUGGAUGACGAGUGGCGGACGGGUGAGUAACGCGUAGGAACCUACCUUUUAGUGGGGGAUAGCAGUGGGAAACUACUGGUAAUACCGCAUGAUACUUUAGAGUUAAAACUAGCUGAAUUUUAUAGCUUGUGCUAAAAGACGGGCCUGCGUUAGAUUAGCUUGUUGGUAAGGUAACGGCUUACCAAGGCAACGAUCUAUAGCUGUUCUGAGAGGAAGAUCAGCCACACUGGGACUGAGAUACGGCCCAGACUCCUACGGGAGGCAGCAGUGGGGAAUAUUGGACAAUGGGCGGAAGCCUGAUCCAGCAAUGCCACGUGUGUGAAGAAGGCCUUCGGGUUGUAAAGCACUUUUAUUAGCGAAGAAGAUAUAAUGGUUAAGAGCUUAAUAUAUUUGACGUUAGCUAAAGAAAAAGCACCGGCUAACUCCGUGCCAGCAGCCGCGGUAAUACGGAGGGUGCAAGCGUUAAUCGGAAUUAUUGGGCGUAAAGAGCCUGUAGGUGGAUAAUUAAGUCAGAUGUGAAAUCCCAAAGCUUAACUUUGGAACUGCAUUUGAAACUAAUUAUCUAGAGUAUAGUAGAGGGUAGAGGAAUUUCCGGUGUAGCGGUGAAAUGCGUAGAGAUCGGAAGGAACAUCAGUGGCGAAGGCGUCUACCUGGACUAAAACUGACACUGAGAGGCGAAAGCAUGGGGAGCAAACAGGAUUAGAUACCCUGGUAGUCCAUGCCGUAAACUAUGAGUACUAACUGUUGGAAUUUUUAAAUUUUAGUAGUGGAGCUAACGCAAUAAGUACUCCGCCUGGGGAUUACGGCCGCAAGGCUAAAACUCAAAGGAAUUGACGGGGGCCCGCACAAGCGGUGGAGCAUGUGGUUUAAUUCGAUGCAACGCGAAAAACCUUACCUACUCUUGAAAUCCUUCGUACUUUAUAGAGAUAUAAAGGUGCCUUUGGAACGAAGUGACAGGUGCUGCAUGGCUGUCGUCAGCUCGUGUCGUGAGAUGUUGGGUUAAGUCCCGUAACGAGCGCAACCCUUGCCCUUAGUUGCCAGCGUGUAAAGACGGGGACUCUGAGGGGACUGCCGGUGAUAAACCGGAGGAAGGCGAGGACGACGUCAAGUCAUCAUGGUCCUUACGAGUAGGGCUACACACGUGCUACAAUGGUAUGUACAAAGGGAGGCAAAAUUGUAAAAUCUAGCAAAUCCCCAAAAGCAUAUCUUAGUCCGGAUUGAAGUCUGCAACUCGACUUCAUGAAGUUGGAAUCGCUAGUAAUCGCGAAUCAGCAUGUCGCGGUGAAUACGUUCCCGGGCCUUGUACACACCGCCCGUCACACCACGGAAGUGGAAUGCACCAGAAGUGGCUAGGAUAACCGAAAGGAGUCCGGUUCCUACGGUGUGUUUCGUAACUGGGGUGAAGUCGUAACAAGGUAGCCGUAGGGGAACCUGCGGCUGGAUCACCUCCUUA